UAUCUCUGUAGAGUCUGCAUAUCAAUAAGCGGAGGAAAAGAAACUAACUAGGAUUCCCUCAGUAACGGCGAGUGAAGCGGGAAGAGCUCAAAUUUGAAAUCUUCAAGGUUCUACCUUGACGAAUUGUAGUUUAAAGAAGUGUUUUCUGUUGGAGUUUUGGUAAAAGUUCUUUGGAAUAGGACAUCAUAGAGGGUGAGAAUCCCGUAUUUGACCAUUAUUUCCAGCUUUGUGAUACACUUUCAAAGAGUCGGAUUGUUUGGGAAUGCAGUCCAAAAUGGGUGGUAAAUUUCAUCUAAAGCUAAAUAUUGGCGAGAGACCGAUAGCGAACAAGUACCGUGAGGGAAAGAUGAAAAGAACUUUGAAAAGAGAGUUAAACAGUACGUGAAAUUGUCAAAAGGGAAGCGUUUGACACCAGUGUUGUUUCUACGAAAAUCAAUUUAUGAUGGCUUGAUGCUAAGCUUUAAGACUUUAUCCGCUUGUUGUUUAGUUUUCUUGUCUUUGUGAAUGCACUUUUCGUGGAACAAGUCAACAUCAAUUUCUUUUGCUGUAAAAGGGUAAGAGGAAGGUGGCUUCGGCUUCGGUUGAAGUGUUUAUAGCCUUUUAUCUCUGCAGUCGGAGAGAUUGAGGUCCGCAGCGUAGACUCUUCGGGGUUAGAUACGUCGGUGCUAAGCUAUAGCUUUUCAUAGACAACUUGUUGACUAUGUUUAGUCAUGUGGCUUACCCGCUGGCGCUAUUUUACCUACGCUUAGGAUGUUGAGUCAUCACACAUCUCU
rnacentral:rRNA from 1 species